rnacentral:rRNA from 1 species
AGCGAACGCUGGCGGCAGGCCUAACACAUGCAAGUCGAGCGGCCGUAGCAAUACGGCAGCGGCAGACGGGAUAGUAACACGUGGGAACGCGCCCUUCGGUUCGGAAUAACUCAGGGAAACUUGAGCUAAUACCGGAUACGCCUACGGGAAAGAUUUAUUGCCGAAGGAACGGCCCGCGUCCGAUUAGCUAGUUGGUGAGGUAAUGGCUCACCAAGGCAACGAUCGGUAGCUGGUCNGAGAGGAUGACCAGCAUCACUGGGACUGAGACACGGCCCAGACUCCUACGGGAGGCAGCAGUGGGGAAUAUUGGACAAUGGGCGCAAGCCUGAUCCAGCCAUGCCGCGUGGAUGAUGAAGGCCUUAGGGUUGUAAA